CCUCAGUAAUAAAUGUCCGAAAUGAUGG
rnacentral:sRNA from 1 species